rnacentral:sRNA from 22 species
CCAUACUCGCCGAACCCAACUGUGCCAGCGCACGGAACCCGGUGAGAGUCCGGGACGGUCGCGCCACUGUGACCGGUCGCACCUGCGGCCGGGAGUCAGAUACGAGCCUGGCACGGCUGUUCCAGU